GGAACGUUGACCUUUGGGAUGAAAAACAGGGCAGUUGAUUUUGCAGAUGAAAAAACUGAGGUUGAGAAGUUAAGUGACUUGUUUAGGGUCACCCAGUGCCUGAAGUAGGAUUUGAACUCAGUUCUUCUGUGUCCUGCACUCUAAGAAUUGUCUAAUUAUUGGUGGAAGCUGGUAGAACUAAUGAUUCAGGGUUGCUGAGCUGGAUCAGCAAAUGAAUAUUCCAUGACUGAAGUGUUCAGGCAAUCCUGCGCAUACAGAUAUUUCAAAGGUCCUAUCAGAGUUAGAAGCUGACUGGCAGCAGUAAUUGUAGCAUCUUCUGGAAGGGCAUUGGAUGAGUGAAGAUGAGUCUACAAUGAGAAACAUACAGGCAUGAAGUCAAACAAGGAAGAGUGACCCUUAAUGGAAGAGAGCAGUGCUAUCCAUGGACUCUAGAAAGCCACUGACCUUCAGAGCCCAGGAGGGAGCUAAAGAUAAUUUCACAAUGAUGCUACAGAGGGAGAAAAGUAUUUCUGUUGGGAGAAUUUUGAAUUACCCCUUUGUGUUCCCUAUACAGGUGUCUCACUACUAUUAUAUGAAGUUUUGGUUCAUUCUACCCAUAGAUAUCGUAUGUAUUUAUGGAAGAAUGUGACUUAAGCUUGGGGAAAAUGUUUUUUGUACCAAUAGUUCUUACUUUACUUUCUUAAU